GUUUCUAUGAGAUCUGAAAUGAACUUUGUAGUCAGCCAGGCCCCUCACAUGUCAACCACUGGCAUUAAUUCAAGGAGACUGCAAGGAAAUGAGGUUUACUGAAAGCCAAAUUUGACAGGUGCCUAAAUGCAGCUUCAGCCUCUUGAAGACGUUCCUCUGGUUUUAACUGAGGGAGGAGAAUAAAACCCAGCCCUGCUGACAAACACCCACAAGAUCUUUAUAAGAAAAAGCUGCUGCUGUCCCCGCGGUGUGAUUGCCUUGUUUGCUUUUUCCCCAGAGAAUGGAUGAUUGAAAACAGGGAGAUAAGUCAUUGCAGUCUGGUUCAAGGCAAGAAGAUGGGCUAGGCAGCAAUGAAAAAAACAUAAUACAAAAUAAAAAUAGCCUGAUCAAAACUAUCUUGAUCUCCGAUGGAAAACUCUGUGCAGUGUUGAAGGAAAUGAAGGAUGGAAAUUCAACCCCAGCCUCCCUGGGUCACCUUGCAGGUGCCUGCCUGGUGUGCAGAGAGGCACAGAGCUGCAGCCAGGUGGGGGCAUGGCACGGAAACUGCCUCGUGUUGGAGCAUAGUGCAUAGAAAUAAUGCUGUUAAUGGAUAGCAAACUGCACAGAGAAAUCAUCAUUGUCCAUGGUGAUUUAGUGAACACAUGGCUGGAGCUAGAGGUGGCUCAGACCAUUUCUUUUACAGCAAAGUGCUUUGAAAUGGAAAUGUUCUGUUGAAAAUCUGCUUUUUUUUUUUUUUUUUUUUUUUUUUCAGAAGUUCCUCUGCAGCUUUGGCACCCUGAAACAACCAACCAAAAAUGGUUUUUGCAAGUACAUUUCUCAGAGGCAAGAGCAGGGCUUGCCCUGGGGCUCUGCUCUUACGGACUGGCCCAAAUUCUUCCUCCUACCUGCCAGCACCCACCCACUGCGAAUUUCUCGGCGUGGCGUUAUUACUGAGGUUAACCUGCAGUUCUGUCUGGGGCUGACCAGCUGGCUCUGCCCCAGUCAGGAUUUGUCUGAGCCAAGUGUCUGCGUGAGGAUGGCUCGGUCACGAGUAUGUUUGCUCACUUCUACUGACUUCCAGAAGAGUGAUUUAAAGUGUUUGUUGACUUAGUGCCCAGUGAGACUCAACUGGGGGUACUUUCCUGCUGCCGCUCAGUUUGUAGAAGCACAGGAAGAAGUUAAAUCACAUUUUGGGCUCUGCAAUGGUUUCUCAGUGGCUCUGGGAAAGCUGCUUUGCUGCUGUCUGUCUCUUUACUUGAGAAAUGGAAGGCAGCAAUGCUCACCAGCUUCACAGAGUUUGUGAUAAUUAAUGUUUGAAGAUGAAAAGCUACUUGAUCUUGUAGCUGGGUUUUGGCUUCUGUGUCUGCUGGUGGGAGACAAGAAGAGCAAUAAAUGAAAUUGCACAGGAGACA
rnacentral:lncRNA from 1 species